GACGAACGCUGGCGGCGUGCUUAACACAUGCAAGUCGAACGGAAAGGCCCUGCUUUUGUGGGGUGCUCGAGUGGCGAACGGGUGAGUAACACGUGAGUAACCUGCCCUUGACUUUGGGAUAACUUCAGGAAACUGGGGCUAAUACCGGAUAGGAGCUCCUGCUGCAUGGUGGGGGUUGGAAAGUUUCGGCGGUUGGGGAUUGACUCGCGGCUUAUCAGCUUGUUGGUGGGGUAGUGGCUUACCAAGGCUUUGACGGGUAGCCGGCCUGAGAGGGUGACCGGCCACAUUGGGACUGAGAGACGGCCCAGACUCCUACGGGAGGCAGCAGUGGGGAAUAUUGCACAAUGGGCGGAAGCCCGAUGCAGCAACGCCGCGUGCGGGAUGACGGCCUUCGGGUUGUAAACCGCUUUCGCCUGUGACGAAGCGUGAGUGACGGUAAUGGGUAAAGAAGCACCGGCUAACUACGUG
rnacentral:rRNA from 1 species